AUGCUUGUUCACAGUGCAGGAGGUUUUUUGUAUGAGUGCAAUAGUAGCACAAGCUCUAAAGUUUUCCGUCUUUGUCUUUUCUCCCCCUCUCCUCCCCCUCUCUCUCCUCCAGCGGGUGUGGUGCGGCCCACCCUGACCGUCCUGCCCCCCUCCGAAGAGGAGGUGCAGCAGGGCAGAGCCACACUGCUGUGUCUGGCCAGCGGGGGCUCUCCCUCAACCUGGAGGCUGGACUGGAAGGUGGGGGGCAGCAGCAGCUCCUCAGGGGUGUCACACAGCCCAGAGGUCCUGGGGAGGGACGGCCACUACAGCUGGAGCAGCACCCUGAGCCUCUCUGCAGACGGCUGGAGGAAGGCGGGCUCAGUGAGCUGUGAGGCCAGUCUGAAUGGACAGACCCCUGUCACUCAAAGUCUGGACCCUGACCGCUGCUCAGAGUAGAGCUUCAGCAACACUUCCUGUCUGGAAAUGAUGCUUCUUUUUCUUUGCUCCAGAUCUUGUUGAAGCUACAGAUCUUCUCUAUUCAGCUGUUUCUAAAAGUUUCACAUCUCUCUAAUCUCUUUUAAUGUGCAUGUUUCUUUCUAACACUGAUUUUCCUCAU